rnacentral:lncRNA from 1 species
CUUGUGGCUCUUAAGUUCGGGUAGAUUAGCCAAACGGUGGGUGGUUUUUUUUUUUUUUUCCUUCAUGCCAGAACUUCUUUUCUAUACCUAAUAGUGUGUGUGAUUUUACCCUGCAUUGAGAUGGGACUUAUGUUGACAAUCUCAUGUCAACUUUCUUAAAAUGAUAGUAAUGUCAGAGGUGCGAUUUGGUUCAAGCUUUGGGUGAAUCUAUACAGAGUUAUUAAUUUUCAUUCAAAUUUUGCUUUAACCCUUCAAUUUGAAGCCAAUGUUGGCCACCACUAAAGUCGGCAAUGGCUGAUAAAAUUAUGUCAGAGCUUUAA